AAACAUAAUUCAUGUCAAAGCACUAAGCAUUAAAAAAAUUGAUUAAAAACUCAUUAGCCCUUGGAAAGUGGAAGAUUUUCACAGAAGAGGACAUCUUUGAGAUUGGAAUGAUCCUCGCCUCACUCUCUCUCUANUUUUUACGGCAGAGGUGUUUCAUCUUCAUCUUCAUCAACCAACACCUAUAUCAUUUUCAACUACAAUUUCCCAGUUUGGUCAAGGUAGUGAUUUGGGCUAAUUUGCUUGAACGAGCCGAAGGAGGUGAAGAUGAUAGUGAUGUAUUGGGGGUGGAGUGGGUGAGGAAGAUGAGAAGGAAGCCAACGGGAUGCCGAGCUUUGAUUCUCAUUUACCCAUUUCAAAUGCACCUGGCAUAGAGGGAAGCACAAUCCACGCAUAUCGUGUCUCUGAUUUUGGGCCAUUUGAGCAAUCUGUUGCAUUUCGCUUAGAGGACGCCAUUGACCUGAGUACAAGUACGGUGUUCAAUUCAGCAAAAGCAAGUGGCCAAGCAGUCUCUUUUGAUCCCCUCCAUAUUGCCACUUUUGACAAGUCAACUACUUCCUUUAAUAUUAAUCCACCUGCUGCGCAAGUGGAGUCCCAGAGAUUGCCAUUAGAAAAGAAUCAACAGUUGAACCUGGUAUCCAUAUCUAGUGGUAAUACGGAGAACUGGGGAGAGUCCAAUAUGGCUGAUGCCAGCCCAAGGACUGAUAUAUCAACUGAUGCGGACACUGAUGAUAAAAAUCUGGGGUUUGAUAGAGGUCUAUCUAUUGUUGUUGCAGCUUCAGAUUCCAGCGACAGAUCAAAGGAUAAACUGGAUCAGAAGACUCUUCGUAGACUGGCCCAAAAUAGAGAAGCUGCAAGAAAAAGCCGGUUGAGAAAGAAAGCCUAUGUCCAACAACUGGAGAGUAGCCGCUUGAAGCUGACGCAACUGGAACAGGAGCUCCAGCGAGCACGCCAGCAGGGAAUCUUUAUAUCAAGCUCAGGGGACCAAGCCCAUUCAAUGAGUGGAAAUGGGGCCAUGGCAUUUGAUGUGGAAUAUGCGCGGUGGCUGGAAGAGCAAAAUCGACAAAUUAAUGAGCUGAGAUCAGCUGUCAAUUCUCAUGCGGGUGAUGCUGAACUUCGCAUUAUCAUAGAUGGUAUAAUGGCUCAUUAUGAUGAAAUUUUUCGGCUAAAGGGAAAUGCAGCCUCAGCUGAUGUUUUCCAUUUGCUAUCUGGCAUGUGGAAGACACCUGCUGAGAGGUGUUUCUUGUGGCUUGGUGGCUUCCGUUCAUCAGAGCUCCUCAAGCUUCUUGUGAACCAGUUGGAGCCUUUGACUGAGCAGCAGUUGGUAGGCAUAGGUAAUCUGCAGCA
rnacentral:misc_RNA from 1 species